GCACUGGUCUUAUUGGUUCUCACCUUCUAAAGAACCAUGAUGUCAUUCAUUUGAUGUUAUGGGGAAUUAGGACUGUUACCUUGAAAAAAUUAGAGUGUUUAAAGCAAGCUUACGCUUGAAUACAUUAGCAUGGAAUAAUGAAAUAGGACAUCAGAUUCUAUUUUGUUGGUUUCUAGGAUCGAUGUAAUGAUUAAUAGGGAUAGUUGGGA
rnacentral:rRNA from 1 species